rnacentral:rRNA from 1 species
GACGAACGCUGGCGGCGUGCUUAACACAUGCAAGUCGAACGGAAAGGCCCUGCUUUUGUGGGGUGCUCGAGUGGCGAACGGGUGAGUAACACGUGAGUAACCUGCCCUUGACUUUGGGAUAACUUCAGGAAACUGGGGCUAAUACCGGAUAGGAGCUCCUGCUGCAUGGUGGGGGUUGGAAAGUUUCGGCGGUUGGGGAUGGACUCGCGGCUUAUCAGCUUGUUGGUGGGGUAGUGGCUUACCAAGGCUUUGACGGGUAGCCGGCCUGAGAGGGUGACCGGCCACAUUGGGACUGAGAUACGGCCCAGACUCCUACGGGAGGCAGCAGUGGGGAAUAUUGCACAAUGGGCGGAAGCCUGAUGCAGCAACGCCGCGUGCGGGAUGACGGCCUUCGGGUUGUAAACCGCUUUCGCCUGUGACGAAGCGUGAGUGACGGUAAUGGGUAAAGAAGCACCGGCUAACUACGUGCCAGCAGCCGCGGUGAUACGUAGGGUGCGAGCGUUGUCCGGAUUUAUUGGGCGUAAAGGGCUCGUAGGUGGUUGAUCGCGUCGGAAGUGUAAUCUUGGGGCUUAACCCUGAGCGUGCUUUCGAUACGGGUUGACUUGAGGAAGGUAGGGGAGAAUGGAAUUCCUGGUGGAGCGGUGGAAUGCGCAGAUAUCAGGAGGAACACCAGUGGCGAAGGCGGUUCUCUGGGCCUUUCCUGACGCUGAGGAGCGAAAGCGUGGGGAGCGAACAGGCUUAGAUACCCUGGUAGUCCACGCUGUAAACGGUGGGUACUAGGUGUGGGGUCCAUUCCACGGGUUCCGUGCCGUAGCUAACGCUUUAAGUACCCCGCCUGGGGAGUACGGCCGCAAGGCUAAAACUCAGAGGAAUUGACGGGGCCCCGCACAAGCGGCGGAGCAUGCGGAUUAAUUCGAUGCAACGCGUAGAACCUUACCUGGGUUUGACAUGGAUCGGGAGCGCUCAGAGAUGGGUGUGCCUCUUUUGGGGUCGGUUCACAGGUGGUGCAUGGCUGUCGUCAGCUCGUGUCGUGAGAUGUUGGGUUAAGUCCCGCAACGAGCGCAACCCUUGUUCACUGUUGCCAGCACGUUAUGGUGGGGACUCAGUGGAGACCGCCGGGGUCAACUCGGAGGAAGGUGGGGAUGACGUCAAGUCAUCAUGCCCCUUAUGUCCAGGGCUUCACGCAUGCUACAAUGGCUGGUACAGAGAGUGGCGAGCCUGUGAGGGUGAGCGAAUCUCGGAAAGCCGGUCUCAGUUCGGAUUGGGGUCUGCAACUCGACCUCAUGAAGUCGGAGUCGCUAGUAAUCGCAGAUCAGCAACGCUGCGGUGAAUACGUUCCCGGG